UCUGGACUGCUUCAGGGUGCUUUGGUUCACUCAUACAUUUAUGACUAGUGUACCGUUGAAAGCAGUGACUUGGUUUAUCUUUUAUCUAACUCUAUAGGACCACUCUAAAGAAAGUCAAACAAGGCCUGAGAACAGGAUGGGUUUCAUCAAAUUUCACCUGUACUUGUAUUUGAGUAUAGAUUCCUCAAGCCCCAAUUCAAAAUGCAUCAUAGAUUUACCAGCAUACAUCAAAACAAGUACCAAGCAGAUGCAAGGAUGUUUGGCAAAAUGCCAUCCCACUGAGAACCUCUUAGUGUAUACAGACACUAUGAACAUAUCAGCCUGGCUGUUAAGCAGAUACAGACAUAAUGCCUGCUGGCACAAGUCCCUUGUUGCAUUAACCUGAUGAGGUCUGCUGACGUGCACAAUCUCAAACUGCUUCUGGUGUGGCUUGUCUGGUGUCACCGUAUACAAAUCAUGAUCUUAAAAUGAUUGUUUGUUGUUUUAAAUAUUAUUUUUCACUAAUCCAAAC
rnacentral:lncRNA from 1 species